rnacentral:rRNA from 1 species
UACGUAGGCAGCGAGCGUUGUUCGGAAUUACUGGGCGUAAAGAGUGUGUAGGCGGUGCUCUAAGUUCGGUGUGAAAUCUCCCGGCUUAACUGGGAGGGUGCGCCGGAAACUGGAGUGCUCGAGCGUGGGAGAGGAAAGCGGAAUUCCUGGUGUAGCGGUGAAAUGCGUAGAUAUCAGGAGGAACACCAGCGGUGUAGACGGCUUUCUGGACCAUUGCUGACGCUGGAGAACACGAAAGCGUGGGUAGCAAACAGG